AUGGCUGGCUUGGAAGGUUUCGAGUUCUUCGAGAUCGUAAUUGAGAAAUCUUGCAGUAGGCAGAGGUUGCCUGACAAGUUUGCGAAGAUGCUCGCCGGCCGUGAGCCCCACAAAGUGAAGCUGCGAGAGGCCGGCAGCGGGCUUCGCAGGCUGUGGGACGUGAUGGUGGUGUUCGAUGGCGAAGGCCACAUGUACCUAGGGCCCGACUGGGAUCAUUUCGCCUGCGCCCAUGAGCUACAGCUCGGGCACUUCCUUGUCUUCCGCUACGAUGGUGACGCCAUGUUCACCGUGAAGAUGUUGAACAACACCAUGUGCCACAUCUACUACCAUCACGACGACGAUGCCAGCAAUGGGAGCAGAGCGGGGAUGACGAGGAGCAGCCUAUUAUGGCUGACGACGACCCUGCUAUGGUGGUGGCGGAUGACGACCUUGCUAUGGUGGUGGCUAACGAAUGAUACAUCUCCAACGUAUCUAUAA
rnacentral:rRNA from 1 species